rnacentral:rRNA from 1 species
CACGCCGUAAACGAUGUCAACUAGCCGUUGGAAUCCUUGAGAUUUUAGUGGCGCAGCUAACGCAUUAAGUUGACCGCCUGGGGAGUACGGCCGCAAGGUUAAAACUCAAAUGAAUUGACGGGGGCCCGCACAAGCGGUGGAGCAUGUGGUUUAAUUCGAAGCAACGCGAAGAACCUUACCUGGCCUUGACAUGCUGAGAACUUUCUAGAGAUAGAUUGGUGCCUUCGGGAACUCAGACACAGGUGC